GACGUAGGGGGCGAGCGUUGUCCGGAUUUAUUGGGCGUAAAGGGCUCGUAGGUGGUUGCGUAAGUCGGAUGUGAAAACUCCAGGCUCAACUUGGAGACGCCAUCCGAUACUGCGCUGACUUGAGUCCGGUAGAGGAGUGUGGAAUUUCUAGUGUAGCGGUGAAAUGCGCAGAUAUUAGAAGGAACACCUAUUGCGAAGGC
rnacentral:rRNA from 1 species